UACGGUGAAUACGUUCCCGGACCUUGUACACACCGCCCGUCAAGCCAUGGAAGCCGGGUGUACCUAAAGUCGGUAACCGCAAGGAGCCGCCUAAGGUAAAACUGGUGACUGGGGCU
rnacentral:rRNA from 1 species